GACUGCGUAGCUCAGUUGGCAGAGCAUUGGACUAGUAUCCCAAAGGUCGCGGGUUCGAUUCCCACCGUGGCCA